AUAGGCGAAAGCCUGACAGGGUUACUCUGAGUGACUUUCGCUAAGAAAGUCUUUUGGCACCUCUAAAAAGGGUGCAGAAUAAGGGGUGGGCAAGUCUGGUGUCAGCCGCCGCGGUAAUACCAGCACCCCGAGUGGUCGGGACGAUUAUUGGGCCUAAAGCAUCCGUAGCCGGUUCUGCAAGUCCCCCGUUAAAUCCAGCUGCUCAACAGAUGGGCCGCGGAGGAUACUACAGAGCUAGGAGGCAGGAGAGGCAAGCGGUACUCAGUGGGUAGGGGUAAAAUCCGUUGAUCCAUUGAAGACCACCAGUGGCGAAGGCGGCUUGCCAGAAUGCGCUCGACGGUGAGGGAUGAAAGCUGGGGGAGCAAACCGGAUUAGAUACCCCCGUAGUCC
rnacentral:rRNA from 1 species